rnacentral:rRNA from 1 species
AGACAGGUGGUGCAUGGUUGUCGUCAGCUCGUGUCGUGAGAUGUUGGGUUAAGUCCCGCAACGAGCGCAACCCCUGCCCUGUGUUGCCAGCACUUCGGGUGGGCACUCACAGGGGACUGCCGGUGACAAACCGGAGGAAGGUGGGGAUGACGUCAAAUCAUCAUGCCCCUUAUGUCCUGGGCUACACACGUGCUACAAUGGCCGGUACAGAGGG